rnacentral:rRNA from 1 species
GACGAACGCUGGCGGCGUGCCUAAUACAUGCAGGUAGAACGCACAGUUUAUACCGUAGCUUGCUACACCAUAGACUGUGAGUUGCGAACGGGUGAGUAACGCGUAGGUAACCUGCCUGGUAGCGGGGGAUAACUAUUGGAAACGAUAGCUAAUACCGCAUAAUAUUAAUUAUUGCAUGAUAAUUGAUUGAAAGAUGCAACUGCAUCACUACCAGAUGGACCUGCGUUGUAUUAGCUAGUAGGUGAGGUAACGGCUCACCUAGGCGACGAUACAUAGCCGACCUGAGAGGGUGAUCGGCCACACUGGGACUGAGACACGGCCCAGACUCCUACGGGAGGCAGCAGUAGGGAAUCUUCGGCAAUGACGAAAGUCUGACCGAGCAACGCCGCGUGAGUGAAGAAGGUUUUCGGAUCGUAAAGCUCUGUUGUAAGAGAAGAACGGGUGUGAGAGUGGAAAGUUCACACUGUGACGGUAUCUUACCAGAAAGGGACGGCUAACUACGUG